rnacentral:rRNA from 1 species
ACUCCUGCGGGAGGCAGCAGUGGGGAAUUUUGGACAAUGGGCGAAAGCCUGAUCCAGCAAUGCCGCGUGAGUGAAGAAGGCCUUCGGGUUGUAAAGCUCUUUUGUCAGGGAAGAAACGGUGAAAGCUAAUAUCUUUUGCUAAUGACGGUACCUGAAGAAUAAGCACCGGCUAACUACGUGCCAGCAGCCGCGGUAAUACGUAGGGUGCAAGCGUUAAUCGGAAUUACUGGGCGUAAAGCGUGCGCAGGCGGUUUUGUAAGUCUGAUGUGAAAUCCCCGGGCUCAACCUGGGAAUUGCAUUGGAGACUGCAAGGCUAGAAUCUGGCAGAGGGGGGUAGAAUUCCACGUGUAGCAGUGAAAUGCGUAGAUAUGUGGAGGAACACCGAUGGCGAAGGCAGCCCCCUGGGUCAAGAUUGACGCUCAUGCACGAAAGCGUGGGGAGCAAACAGGAUUAGAAACCCUUGUAGUCCCA